CGCGUAGGCGGCUUGGCAAGUCAGGUGUGAAAUCCCCGAGCUUAACUUGGGAAUUGCAUCUGAAACUGUCGAGCUUGAGUCCUGGAGGGGAUAGCGGAAUUCCCAGUGUAGCGGUGAAAUGCGUAGAUAUUGGGAGGAACACCUGCGGCGAAGGCAGCUAUCUGGACAGUGACUGACGCUGAGGCGCGAAAGCGUAGGGGAGCGAACG
rnacentral:rRNA from 1 species